rnacentral:tRNA from 1 species
GGUGGUUCAGUGGUAGAGCACUCGUCUCGCAUACGUGAAGCCCUGGGUUCGAUUCCUCAGCACCA